GUUAUUCCUUUCAUUUUCAUUUGUCUAGAGCUUUUGCUUUGUAUAUUUUGGUGCUAUUAUUUAUACUGUAUAAUACAUCUGUUAUGUAGAAUUCAUAAGAAAGACUAAAGUUGCCUUUGUUUUUGUGGUACUGGGGAUUGAAUGAGGGGUGCUCUACUCCUGAGCUGCAUUCCCACCUCUUUUUAUUUUAUGUUUUGAGACAGGGUCUUGCUAAGUUGCCCAAGCUGGCCUUAACCUGGAAGUGUAAUCCUCCUGCUUCAGCUUUUUGAGUAGGUGGGAUAUUAGGUAUCUGCCACUGUGCCUGGCAAGUUGUUCUUUCUGCUCUACAUGUUUUUGCUUUGGAAUUUUAUUUUGGUUAUUAAAAGGUUUUUCUUUUUUGUUUUACAUUUGCUUGCUAAAAUUGUAUAUACACUUACUUUUAACUUUACAGUAUAAUUUUUAGUUGUCUUUUAUACAGUGUAUCUUAGAUUUUGUUUCAACACAUUUGAAGAGUCUUAUAUCUUAGUAGAGUCUACUCCAUUGGGAUUUAUGUUAAUUACUGACUUAAUCUACUGUGAUCAUGCAGUGUUCCUCAGGGUCCUCUGGUGCUGUAGCAUGAGUGUGUCCCCAAGAUCCUGCGGUGGGGACCUGACUUCCCACUGCAGCACUGUUGAGAGGAGGGAUCUGUAAGAGGAGCUCAGAGCCGCCCUUGUGAAUGCGUCAGUUAUUAUCAAGGGAGUGGGGGUGGUAGCAGGACAGGUUGGGCCCCCUGUUCCUGUGCAUAUGUUGCUUGCCCUCACCUCUGUCCUGAGAUGACCAGCAGGGACGCUUGUGCUGGAUAUGGGCCUCGAUCUGGCCGUGGCCUCCAGAACCACAGGAAGUAACUUUCUGUUCUUUGUAAAUUAUUCCACGUCAGUUAUUCCAUUAGAGCAGCACAACACAGGUAAGCAUGUAACAGAGCAGAAGGGUUUCUAAGGUCCAACUCCAGUUUCCCAAAGCAGGGAAAAAGGGUGAUUUUGGAGCAGACCAUUGAUUCUGAUUGCCAUUGUUUCGGCAGUUUGUGAUUUUUGUGAUAAUUUUGUAAUUUUGGAGCUGCCAUUGUUUUGCAACGUCACACUCAAGGCUACCGUUUUAUUAACUUGUAAGAAUGCAGCAGUUAUCUGUGAUUAUAGCUCCUGUGUGCCUGGUCAGGGAUUAUUUCAUGUGCCUCUGGGGAGCCUCCAGGAUGUGCACCCUAUUUCACUUGUUCCGGGCUGUGUUUUUCAUCUGAGUGUUGUCCCUGGUGGCCAGUCUGGGUUGGGAUCCACUUUUUCCAUCUGCCUGGCCUCCUAGGUUUGGAUUAUUUGUCCGAAGUACUUGCUUGGUUCCUUAUUCUUCAUUAUUUCUUUGGGUCACCUUUAUUCCACAUUGUGUUCGGAUAUAAGGCCAAGGAAGGGCAUUCAGAAAAUAGUAUCUCUCUUUAAAACUUUAUUUUCAUCAGUAAUGCAUACGUUUUACAAAGUCAGAUUCUGGGAAAAUGGUGAUGGCUAGUGUGUUUUUGGGCUUUUUGGGUUUUCUUUGUUUUGGAUUUCUUGGGUAUGUUUUUACUUUGUUUUUUUUUGGUACCGGGGAUCAAACUCAGGACCUUGCACUUUCGAGGCAGGAAUGGUGCCACUGAGCUAAAUCCCCGGCCCCUAUUUUUACUCUUCAUAAAAAUAGCAACCAAAAGCCCUUGGAUAACAUUAGUAGCAUAACUGGGUGACAAGAUCCCCCAUGAACUCCAGCAGGCGCAAGACCUGUGCAUUUCUUGGCAUCUGCAGGGAAGCAGAGAGAAGCAGUGAUGUCGGACUUUGAAGUACCAGUGGCUCUUGUGGAAAGCGAGAACCCACUUGAGAACAGGAGCAGAGACAGGUAGAAUUGAAUAUUUCUGAAGUCUAGUUCUAUCUCAAUGUGAUUUUUUUUUUAUUUGAGAAAACUAACAGUAAAGGAUUAAUAUUGAAAGCACAAUGACAUGUUUGUUUGCCAUGUAGAACUGUGGGGUCCAGUGUGGCAGGCACCGGCUGGGUAUCACUGUUGACACUUGAAACAGGCCUGGCUGAAACUGAGAUGUGCUGUAACUGUAAAAUACUGGAGUUUGAAGACUUGACAUGGAAAAAAAAAGAAUGUAAAUAGCUCAUUUUUUAAUGUUGCUUCAUGUUGAAAUGAGUAUUUUGGGUGUAUGGCUAAAUAAAAAAUAAUUGAAAUGAAGCCCACUUGUUUCCAAAACCUUUGUGACUAGUGGAAAAUGAAAAUUUAAAAUUGUGUAUGUGGCUUGAGUUCUGUUUCUGUUGCAUUCCACUGUUCCAUUUUUAAAAAUUGAUUUCUAAUUCUGCUUUGGCUGGGGAAUAUACCUUAGAUGAUUCAGUCUUUAAAUUUAUUGAAUCUUUGUUUUACAGUCCCCCAUAUGGACUGUCUUGGAAACUCUUCUUGUCCACUUGAAAACAAAGUAUAUUUCCCAGGCUGUUGCGUUCUCUGUG
ensembl:lncRNA